AGAGUUUGAUCCUGGCUCAGAUUGAACGCUGGCGGCAGGCCUAACACAUGCAAGUCGAGCGGUAGCGCAGAGAGCUUGCUCUCGGGUGACGAGCGGCGGACGGGUGAGUAAUGUCUGGGAAACUGCCUGAUGGAGGGGGAUAACUACUGGAAACGGUAGCUAAUACCGCAUAAUGUCGCAAGACCAAAGUGGGGGACCUUCGGGCCUCAUGCCAUCAGAUGUGCCCAGAUGGGAUUAGCUAGUAGGUGGGGUAACGGCUCACCUAGGCGACGAUCCCUAGCUGGUCUGAGAGGAUGACCAGCCACACUGGAACUGAGACACGGUCCAGACUCCUACGGGAGGCAGCAGUGGGGAAUAUUGCACAAUGGGCGCAAGCCUGAUGCAGCCAUGCCGCGUGUGUGAAGAAGGCCUUCGGGUUGUAAAGCACUUUCAGCGGGGAGGAAGGCGUUAAGGUUAAUAACCUUAGCGAUUGACGUUACCCGCAGAAGAAGCACCGGCUAACUCCGUGCCAGCAGCCGCGGUAAUACGGAGGGUGCAAGCGUUAAUCGGAAUUACUGGGCGUAAAGCGCACGCAGGCGGUCUGUCAAGUCGGAUGUGAAAUCCCCGGGCUCAACCUGGGAACUGCAUUCGAAACUGGCAGGCUAGAGUCUUGUAGAGGGGGGUAGAAUUCCAGGUGUAGCGGUGAAAUGCGUAGAGAUCUGGAGGAAUACCGGUGGCGAAGNCGGCCCCCUGGACAAAGACUGACGCUCASGUGCGAAAGCGUGGGGAGCAAACAGGAUUAGAUACCCUGSUAGUSCACGCCGUAAACGAUGUCGAUUUGGAGGUUGUGCCCUUGAGGCGUGGCUUCCGGNAGCUAACGCGUUAANUCGACCGCCUGGGGAGUACGGCCGCAAGGUUAAAACUCAAAUGAAUUGACGGGGGCCCGCACAAGCGGUGGAGCAUGUGGUUUAAUUCGAUGCAACGCGAAGAACCUUACCUGGUCUUGACAUCCACAGAACUUAGCAGAGAUGCUUUGGUGCCUUCGGGAACUGUGAGACAGGUGCUGCAUGGCUGUCGUCAGCUCGUGUUGUGAAAUGUUGGGUUAAGUCCCGCAACGAGCGCAACCCUUAUCCUUUGUUGCCAGCGGUUAGGCCGGGAACUCAAAGGAGACUGCCAGUGAUAAACUGGAGGAAGGUGGGGAUGACGUCAAGUCAUCAUGGCCCUUACGACCAGGGCUACACACGUGCUACAAUGGCAUAUACAAAGAGAAGCGACCUCGCGAGAGCAAGCGGACCUCAUAAAGUAUGUCGUAGUCCGGAUUGGAGUCUGCAACUCGACUCCAUGAAGUCGGAAUCGCUAGUAAUCGUAGAUCAGAAUGCUACGGUGAAUACGUUCCCGGGCCUUGUACACACCGCCCGUCACACCAUGGGAGUGGGUUGCAAAAGAAGUAGGUAGCUUAACCUUCGGGAGGGCGCUUACCACUUUGUGAUUCAUGACUGGGGUGAAGUCGUAACAAGGUAACCGUAGGGGAACCUGCGGCUGGAACACCUCCUUACC
rnacentral:rRNA from 1 species